rnacentral:rRNA from 1 species
GGGGAAUAUUGGACAAUGGGGGGAACCCUGAUCCAGCCAUGCCGCGUGUGUGAAGAAGGCCUUUUGGUUGUAAAGCACUUUAAGCGAGGAGGAGGCUCUCUUGGUUAAUACCUGAGAAGAGUGGACGUUACUCGCAGAAUAAGCACCGGCUAACUCUGUGCCAGCAGCCGCGGUAAUACAGAGGGUGCGAGCGUUAAUCGGAUUUACUGGGCGUAAAGCGCGCGUAGGUGGUUAAUUAAGUCAAAUGUGAAAUCCCCGAGCUUAACUUGGGAAUUGCAUUCGAUACUGGUUAGCUAGAGUAUGGGAGAGGAUGGUAGAAUUCCAGGUGUAGCGGUGAAAUGCGUAGAGAUCUGGAGGAAUACCGAUGGCGAAGGCAGCCAUCUGGCCUAAUACUGACACUGAGGUGCGAAAGCAUGGGGAGCAAAC